rnacentral:sRNA from 1 species
UGAACGUGAUAAAAUACCUUUUACCGCCC